UUUAUUUGAGAGAGAGAGAGAGACCAGGACAGAGAGUGUGAAAGAGAGAGUAUAAACAAGGGGAACAGCAUAGGAGGAAAGAGAAGCAGACUCCCCGCUGAGCAGGGAUCCCAAUGUGGGGCUCAAUCCCAGGACCCUGAUAUCAUGACCUGAGCCAGCAGAUGCUUAACUGGCUGAGCCACCCAUUUCAGUGGUUUCAUGAGAGAAAAGGCAUAAAUGUGUUUGUUCAAACCACUACUUUAAAGCGAACCAAUCCAACUUAUCUUAGAAAAAAGUUCUGGCACAUUGGCAAAAAUGUUCAGUGUCUUAAGCUCAGAGAAAUGAUGUGGUUGUAGUCAUGCAUUUCCCAGAAUGCCAAGCAGGACAGCAUGAAAUAUAAUCAUUUCAAAGAUGCUUCUGAAAUCCUUCCACAAAAACUCUAUUUAUUGGAUCUGUUAAUCUGUAAUGUGUCCCAGAAGCCCUAGUAAAAGCAGAGUCCAUAGACUUUUUUAUAUUAGAAGACUUAGCUUAGGGAGGGAAAAUUUUCCAUUAUAAGAAUAGUGAUUAAAUCCUGUGCCAUGUGUACCAGUGUAUCAGUGUCUUGAAAAUCGAAAUUACGAGGCACCAGUUGUUGGCUCUAACAUUUAAUAUCUUUGCAAUAAAAAAUGGUACAAGAUGUAGGACAGUACCGGCUGUGAAUAUAUAUGCAUGGCUUUUGAAUGGUUUUCAGUCACUGCAAACAGAUAAUUCUUGUUAAGUACACAUGACAUAUUUCUUAUGUAACUCUAUGUUGUGGCCAAUAUGAAAGCUUUGAAGUUAUACAUGUUACAUGAACUUUAAAUAUUUUGUUAGUAGGAUUUCUUACUACAGGACUGAAAAGUAAAACUGGAUUUGAGCAGUAUGAUCUUUAUUUAUUUAUUUAUUUAUUUUUGAGCAGUAUGAUCUUUAAAUCCUGUCCAAUUUGAUCAAAUAGCAGUUAUUUCAAUGUAAAAACCUUCUCAAGUCUUUUUUUUUUUUUGCAGCAUUUAAAGCAACAUCUGUUUGAACUUUUUAAAAUCUGAUUUCAAAUUGAUUUCCCUGAUUUCAUGAAAACAGCAAACCACACUUUCCAAUCCUCAGUCCACAGGGGUCAGAUCUUCAAAUUAUACUUGUGUCUAGCUGCCAAUAAGUAUUAAGUCAGCAAGAAGCUAGGUAAGAAAAAUUAAAUAUUAGAGAUGUUGCUUUUUUAAAGUAUUGCUUUCUAGCAGGAUCUACACUGGAUCUACUAUUUAUGAAAACAAAUAAUAGGGCAGCCCCUGUUGCUCAGUGUUUUAGCACCACCUUCAGUCCAGGAUGUGAUCCCGGAGACCUGCGAUCGAGUCCCAUGUCAGGCUCCCUGCAUGGGGCCUGCUUCUCCCUCUGCCUGUGUCUGUGCCUCUUUCUCUGUGUGCAUGUAAAAUCUUAAAAAAGAAAAGAAAAGAAAGAAAAGAAAAGAAAAAAUAAAUUAUAAAUAAAAAGUAACUAAACAACUUUCCCACUGUUUUUAGAGAUUAAACACUGUUGCUAUAAGGCAAAGUCUUCACAAACGCUUUCAGAUUAAUGUUGCUAUAAUUAAUCCUUAUAAAGGUGGAAUUACAACAAAAAUAUGAAUUACACGGGACGCCUGGGUGGCUCAGAGGUUGAGCGUUUGACUUUGGCUCAGGUCAUGAUCCCGGGUCCCAGGAUUGAGUCCCGCAUCGGGCUCCCUGCAGGGAGCCUCCUUAUCCCUCUGCCUGUGUCUCUGCCUCUCUCUCUCUCUGUCUCUUAUGAAUAAAUAAAUAAAAUCUUUAAAAAAUAUGAAUUACAACCAUAGGAACUAAUAAAGAAAGCACUUUAGUGGGAUUCUACUUUAUUGCCUUUGAGGCUUACAACAGAUUUUAAAUGUGAUUCAAUUUAAAUUACAGGUGAAUAUUAGCAAUCUUUAUCAUCCAUAAAUAGUCUGAUGUUUUGAUAAGGUUGAAUGACCUAUAACAAGUUAAAAAGUAAGGCUUUUCAAAAAUUUAACAUCGUCAAUCUUGCUGACUCUAUCCCGGACCUAGAUGUUAAUUAACACAUCUUUUAUUUUGAUCUGCUCUUUAUCUUUGUUGGGGUUUUAAUAUUCACUCACCUUUAUUAAUUUUAUCCUGAAUGCCCAUACAACGUGUUCUAGAUGGAAAACAGGUUAUCAUUGUAUACUUAAAAAUAAUGACCACAUGAUUCCUCACAUCAAUUCUUGCCCCGAAGGUGAUGCAAUGAAAGCCAAGUCAGAUAUCCUACAUAAAUUUAAAAGUCUAUAUUACAGGUGGGUAUUGGAGAAAAUUUAUUUUUUAUCUGCUUAUCUACAAGAGAAAGAGACAGUUACCGCCUUCUCCCUCCUUGAAAGGCAGGAGAAAAACCUUUGCUCUUUGGUGACAGGAUGUAAAGGAUCCUGAGAUCUCACUCUAAACUUUUGGGAUAUAAAUAUAUAUCUCCAAGGGCCAGAUAAAGCCAGUGUCUCUGGCUUUUCUGACCUAAGAUGGCUCCACGAUUCUGAGCCUUAUCUUCCCUUAAGAGAUUAAGUAUAUACCUCUGGAGUUAGAAAAACCUGUCUGGAGUUCUCUCAGUACCUAUACAGUUGUGAAUUAACUUCCCACAUCUUGUUCUUAGCCUAGCCUCACAGGAUUUCAGCGAAAUUUAUUCAAAAAGCUGUACGUCUACAGAAACACAAAAAUAUUUCUUCAUAUCUCACACUCUUGAUAGCUCCAAUUAUUGGCACUAUGAACUCUUUUUUGCAUUACUGAUAGUGUUUCUCACAUAAGUAAUAAACAAGCAUAUACAGUCCUUCCUUUAGAAAAUUCAUAUGUUAUACAUGACAUAUUUACUUCCUAUCAUUAACAAAAAGUCAUUUUUAACCUAAUAAAUCAAAGUAAGUUAUCAUUAUCUUAUUUUAUCUGACAGGAUUUCCAGACUUCAGAAGGAAAUUUGUGAAAUAAUGCAUAAUGUUACUAAAGAGACCUUUUUAAACCUCCACCAGCAGGUUUUCCUCAUUUUGAAUCAGUUCAUUUUUUCCUUUUACAUGAAUUUGACAAUGACAUGCCUUUUCUCUUUUUCUUUAUUAUAAUUAACUUAUUUCUGAAUUUGUCAUAACUAUGACAUUUUUGGAACAGCUAACAUAUUCUUUCUUUAAUUAAGACUUGAAGGCUUAUUCCUGCUCUUUUUAGCAGUUCAUUUCAUUACCUUUUUCAAAUUUCUAUGUGACUAAAAAUUAUAUUUUCUAAGUUUCAUAAAACUAAAUUUACAUUUAAAUAUAAUUCAUUUUGCAGAAAAAAAUGACAAUCCUUUAGAAGUAUGGUUUAGUCUAGCUUCAAAUGUACAGUUACAAGAUUAUGUCAAAUGUAUAAAAUGGAGCAUUUUUUAUUAAAUGUAAUAUAUUUCUGCAUAGUGCUACCCAAGCUAAUCGAGUGAUUACCUCUAAUUCAUGAUUUAGCAAACUAUGCCAGAUUAGUGCCAACAAUAAGAAAAAUAUAAAUAUCACACAGUUUGUCCAGAAAUGUUAUAUUUCACAGAAGGUAAAGAAGAUGCUGAUAUAUUCAAUCUUAUCAAACAAUAGAUCUUUGGCUGCAAAUUUAUCUUCUAAUUUAUCUUUAGAUUCAACAUUUGAAAACAAUUAAGUGCUUUGAUGUAUACUUAAUUAGUGUGAUUCUAGUGGCUUAUAUAAAUAUACCAGUUGAAAAUAAUAACUUUUUAAUAAUCUUACCUGGAAACAAAAUCAGUAGAAUCAAAGACAUGGACCUAGCUAAGUUUUAUAUGUCAUAUGUCUAUUAUAUAAAUGUGAUCAUGAUAGAAAACAACAUUUAAAACCAAGCAAUAAUAGGAGUCAAUUAUAGAUAAUCAAGUAUAAUACAUAAUUCCCAAAUAAAUUCAAUAAAAAGUUUGCUAUUUUCUCUCAAGUGAAUGAUACACUGACAUUUACUUUUAUAAAAUGAGGAUAUCUUAGUUUGCAAGGAAGACAUGUACAAACAUGUAUUUCUAUUUAGUGGUUACUAUAAGGAUUUGUGGAUAUAGGAGAUCAUUAAGAUGUUGGAUGAGUAGUUGUCUGGUCCCUGAAAUUUGGCUACAUAGUUAUCAAAUCAUCUGAACACCUGAAAAAUCAACCAGAAAUCAGAGGAAAGAACUGCUACAACUCUACAAAUAGAAAGUUACCACAUUUUGUAAGACAGGAGCUGCAAAGAUGUGCAUCUGAGGCAAUAUAUCUGAAGGCAAACCACAGGGGAAGGGAGCCUCCAUAAGCUGAGUACCAGAAAGUGUUAUUAGCCACAGAGUGCAAAAUGAGAAGGUUUAGAAUUUUGCCUGAAAAGCGCCCAGGAGGCAAAGCAGAAUAGUAUCCCAGGUGGUACAGCAUGUUCUCAGGAUCCUAGGGGUAACAAAAAGAAAAGGGGUGUCUGAGUACAGUGCAGUUCCCAAGCACUGGAGGGGGAGGCUGGCUGAAAAUAGUGAGCCCAGGUGCAGACUUUCUGUCCAGUGUUGCUGUAAACCCAGAACUGUUGCACAGUCAGGUGACUGCUCUCCCAGCGAGGGCCCAGCAAAAGGCAGAAGCAGAGACACCCCCCUCCUUCCCUGGAGGAGCAGCCUGGGUUCUUAUCACAGGAGUCCUUAAGGUUUGGACACUCAGCAUGGGAUCCUGUGCCUGAGAUAAAAACACUGGAUCACAGGCUGGACGAACACAGAGAUUGGAUGGAAACCAGGAGAAAAGAGUGGUUGACUGCUUUUCUGGGAGGGCUCGCUGAGGAAUGGGGGGCACAAACUUUCAGCUCUGGGCUAGAGCUUGGGGCAAAACCAUUUUCACCCCCCACACCAGUUCCAAAGCUGCCUACACUCAACCCAGCCUUGGGGGUAAGGGUGGUGCCAGUUCCUCCAGGGAAGACACUUGAAAAUCAAUGCAUGGGGUACCACCUGCAGAAGGCCAGCGGGAGAUUCCAGCAUACAGAUGGGCGUUUGGUGGGUAAACUUUCACUGUGUACAUAUUUAGGUUUUUCUUUCUGUCGUAUUUGGGAUCUGUUUUUUUUUUUUUUUCCCUAAAAAACAAACCAAAAUACACCCAGGAUCUAGUUUAUUAUUCUGUUCAACUUCUGGCUUGAUCUUAUCUCUCUCUCUCUCUCUCUUUUUAUCCUUUUCUUUUUAUUUUCUUCUUGGUUUCUGUUCACUUCUGAUUUGUGUAGUAAAUUUUUUUCUGGUGUCAUUAUUGCUAUUUUUUUGUAUUUUCUCUCUCUUUCACCUAUUCUUUUAUGCAAAUAAUGAUAAGAACUCAGCCCAAAAAAGAGAACAAGAGGCACUGCUCACUGCCAAGGAUUUUUUUUUUUAGGUUUGAUUUAUUUAUUCAUGAGAAACACAGAGAAAGAGAGGCAGAGACAAAGGCAGAGGGAGAAGCAGGCUCCAUGCAGUAAGCCCAAUGUGGGACUCGAUCCAGGGACUCUGGGAUCAUGACCUGAGCCAAAGGCAGAUGCUCAACCACUGACCCACCCAGGUACCCCCCUGCCAAGAAUUUAAUAAAUAUGGAUGUAAGUAAGAUAUUGGAAUUAGAAUUCAAAACAAUAAUUAUAAAGAUACUAGUUGAGCUUGAAAAAAGGAUGGAAGAUACUAGAGAAUCACUGGAGAAAUAAAAGAACUAAAAUCUAUUCAGGCUGAAAUUUAAAAAUGGUAUUACUGAGAUGCAAUAAAAAAUGGAGGCUUGCCACCCUUGGGUGGCUCAGUGGUUGAGCACUUGCAUUCAGCUAGAUAGUGAUCCUGGGGUCCUGGGAUCUAGUCCCACAUUGGGCUCUCCACAGGGAGCCCCCUUCUCCCUCUGCCUAUGUGUCUGCCCAUGUCUCUCCUGAAUAAAUAUAUAAAAUAUAUAUAUAUUUUUAAGUGGAAGCUUAACCAUUAUGAUAAAUGAGACCGAAGAGAUAGUCAGUGAAAUAGAAAAUAAAAUGAUGCAGUAUAAAGAAGUUUAGAAAAGGAGAGACAAACAACCAGUGGAUUGUGAGGGCAGAAUUUGAUAGUUCAACAAGAGCAUAAAGCAAGACAAUAUUAGACAAUAUUAGAAUAUUAGAAUAAUUGGGGUCUGAGAGGAAGGGCAAAGAGAGAGAGGGCCAUAAAGUAUAUUUAAACAAAUUAUAGCUAAAGCGCUCCCCUAAUCUGGGUAAGGAAACAGGAUUCAAGACCAGGAGGCACAGAGAACUCCCCUCAAAAUUAAUAAAAAUAGUUUGACACCUCAAUAUGUAAUAGUGAUUUUUGCAAAUUUCAAAGAUAAAGAGAAAAUCCUGAGAGCUGCACAGGACAAGAGGUCCUUAACCUACAAGAGUAGAAACAUUAGACUGGUAUCAGACCUAUCCACAAAGAUCCAGAAAGGGCUAGUAUGGUAUAUUGAGUAUAUUGAGUAUGAGAAAAAUAAGCAGCCAGGAAUACUUUAUCCAGCAAGACUGUCAUUUUUUUUAUACUAGCUGUGUAACUUUAUUUUUUUAAAGAUGUGUUUAUUUAUGAUAGACAUAGAGAGGGAGAGAGAGGCAGAGACACAGGAGGAGGGAGAAGCAGGCUCCAUAACAGGAGCCUGACACAGGACUCGAUCCUGGGACUCCAGGAUCACGCCCUGGGCCAAAGGCAGGUGCCAAACCGCUGAGCCACCCAGGGAUCCCCAAGACUGUCAUUCUGAAUGGAAGGAGAGAUAGCUUCCAGGCCAAACAGAAACUAAAAGAAUUUGUGAUCACUACACCAGCUCUGCAGGAAAUAUUAAAAGGGAUCCUUUAAGUGAAAAGACAGCCCAAAUGUAACAUAGACCAGAAAGGAACAGAAAAUCUACAGAAAUGUUGACUUUACAGGUAAUACAGUGGCACUAAAUUCGUAACUUUCUAUUGUUACUCUGAAUGUAAAUGAGUUAAAUGCCCCAAUCAAAAGACACAAGGUAUCAGAUUAAAAAAAAAAAAAAAA
rnacentral:lncRNA from 1 species